rnacentral:misc_RNA from 1 species
CAGAAGUCCAGAAGAUAAUAAUGCCAUUUCUUGAAUCUAUAGUAUAUCCACCGAAGAGGAACAAAUAUGACAUAAAACAAACAGUAUACAUAAGGAAUAUCUUGCGGCCUUGCGCCCAAGAGGAAGCAAAAUCCCCCAAAACCAAGAACACCAAGAAGAUGAGUUACCUUACUAAGGAAGCUCUGAUGUUCCUCUGCUUGUUUUGCGAUCUUAACUGCCUGUUU